CAGCAGCCGCGGUAAUACGGAGGGUGCAAGCGUUAUCCGGAUUUACUGGGUUUAAAGGGUGCGUAGGCGGGCAGGUAAGUCUGUGGUGAAAUCUCCGAGCUCAACUCGGGAACUGCCAUGGAUACUAUUUGUCUUGAAUACCGUGGAGGUGAGCGGAACAUGGCAUGUAGCGGUGAAAUGCUUAGAUAUGCCAUAGAACACCUAUUGCGAAGGCAGCUCACUACACGGUGAUUGACGCUGAGGCACGAAAGCGUGGGUAGCGAACAGGAUUAGAUACCCUGGGUCCACGCCCUAAACGAUGAUCACUCGACAUUGGCGAUAUACUGUCAGUGUCUAAGCGAAAGCAUUAAGUGAUCCACCUGGGAAGUACGACCGCAAGGUUGAAACUCAAAGGAAUUGAC
rnacentral:rRNA from 1 species